rnacentral:SRP_RNA from 1 species
GCCUGGCGUGGUGGCACAUGCCUAUGGUCCCAGGUACUUGGGAGGCUGAGGCUGGAGGAUCGCUUGAGUCCAGGAGUUCUGGGCUGUAGUGCGCUGUGCUGAUCGGAUGUCCGCACUAAGUUCGGCAUCAAUAUGGUGACCUCCCGGGAGUGGGGGACCACCACGUUGCCUAAGGAGGGGUGAACCGGUCCAGGUUGGAAACAGAGCAGGUCAAAACUCCUGUGCUGAUCAGUAGUGGGAUCGCGCCUGUGAAUAGCCACUGCACUCCAGCCUGGGCAACAUAGCGAGACCCCGUAUCU